rnacentral:tRNA from 1 species
UAGCUUAGUUGGUAGAACAUGGUGCUCGCAACGCCAGGGUUGUGGGUUUGAUUCCCAC